GUGCUCACUCCAGCAGCACAUAUACUAAAAUUGGACGAUACUGAGAAGAUUAGUAUGGCCCUGCCCAAGGAUGACACGCAAAUUCAUGAAGUGUUCCAAACAUUU